UUUCUCUUCCCCUUUCUUUCCUCUUCCUGCCCGUCCCCUUCAUUUCCAGUUAGACAAGCCUUCUGCCACAAAGCCACAUACCCAUCCCCUCGCACACUCCUUUCUGAGUGCCAUCUUCUAGAGCCCUCUGUGGUUCAGUCCCAACCUCAUCAGCUUCUCUCAGGGACCUCUGGGUAGUCGGGUUGGUAGCCACUCGUGAUGUCCAUGAAAAUGGAUCAGAUCCUCUGAUCCUACUCCUGAAAAGAAGACACAGGGAUGGAGAGCAGAUGCUGGAAGACUGAGAACCUCUUCCAGACUUUCCUCCCUGGCCCUCUCUGCUUUGCGGGGGCUCACCCAGGGUGGGAUAAGGUUGAGGUCCCAUUGGUUGAGGGCUGCUUUCUAGAAGUCCAAGGGAUGGAUAGUUGUGUCCUUUUGUGCUGUGGUCACAGAGUUGUAGCAGGGCUGAUUCUUGAGCUUCUAGAAUAAUCUAGAUAGGCUACUGUCCAGUAGGAAUGAUAGAGCCAGGCUCUCCUAAUGCCCCUCUUAGGUUAGGCCUGUCUUGGUUCUCAUGAACCAUUUUAGAGAUGAAUUCUGUUUCUUCCACAAGAGUCUGUUUCUUCUCUGUCAUUCUCUCACUCUUUUCCCCUUUGUCUUCCUUUACCUCUUUCUGUGCAACAAGCAGCUGCAGGAAGCCUUCUCUGUGCCAAGUGCGGGCAUAGAGUGGUGAGGGUACACAGAGCCUGGCUCAAAUGGUUUUAUGUUUCAGUGGGGGCAACCAAAUGAGGACACAGGUGAGAGAAGGCGAGGGCCAGGGAUGGCGUGGAUAGAGCCCUACCCAACCUAGAGCCUCCUGGAACACCGGAAGGGAAGCUUGUUUGGAAGCAUGACUACAGCUGAUGGGAUCCUCUAUGGUACAGGCCUGCUGUCAUUUUGUCUCAUGUUUGAAGAGGGAAGACUCUUAUCAAUAUGUGUUGUUCCAAACAAAAGGCAGGGCAUGUGCCAUGUGCCCAGCGUGGAGAUGGAGCUCCACGUGCUUACCUUGUCUCUCCUCAGUUGGCAUGUGACCUCACUAAACCUGGAAAGCUAAUUGGGAAAUACUGCUGACCUCAGAAGAGAAGGCUUAGAAUUGGCUUCUGGUGGAGCAGUGAGAUGUUAAUUCUGCAUGUGGGUUGUUGUGGAGAGAGCUCCUGGCUUCCUGGGCUGUUUUUUGGAUCACAUGGUUUUGGAUCUCAUGGACAGCAGGUAGCAGUGUGAGGUGGUCUACAUGGUAGUCACCAAGACCUCCCCCCAUGUAGGUUAUUGGGCUACAUGGACUGGUGCAUCGCUAUAGCCCCAUUGGGCUCCUCAGACUUUGAAUUUGGGGUGACUGUGGCCUCUGCUGCUCACACACUUCACUGCAAGUUCCUGAGAGCUACUAGCCAGAGACUCUAGCUAAGUCUCACAUGUCUGGAUUCCUGACUCACAGAGACUGUGACGUAGUAAGUGCUUGUGUGAAGGCAGUAGAUCAGGGUCCCUAAACCUUCGUUCACUGAUUUUUGUAAAUAAAGUUUUAUUGGUUGCUA